rnacentral:rRNA from 1 species
AGUAACACGUGGGAACGUGCCUAAAGGUUCGGAAUAACUCAGGGAAACUACUGCUAAUACCGAAUGUGCCCUUCGGGGGAAAGAUUUAUCGCCUUUAGAGCGGCCCGCGUCUGAUUAGCUAGUUGGUGAGGUAAAGGCUCACCAAGGCGACGAUCAGUAGCUGGUCUGAGAGGAUGAUCAGCCACAUUGGGACUGAGACACGGCCCAAACUCCUACGGGAGGCAGCAGUGGGGAAUCUUGCGCAAUGGGCGAAAGCCUGACGCAGCCAUGCCGCGUGAAUGAUGAAGGUCUUAGGAUUGUAAAAUUCUUUCACCGGGGACGAUAAUGACGGUACCCGGAGAAGAAGCCCCGGCUAACUUCGUGCCAGCAGCCGCGGUAAUACGAAGGGGGCUAGCGUUGCUCGGAAUUACUGGGCGUAAAGGGAGCGUAGGCGGACAUUUAAGUCAGGGGUGAAAUCCCGGGGCUCAACCUCGGAAUUGCCUUUGAUACUGGGUGUCUUGAGUAUGAGAGAGGUGUGUGGAACUCCGAGUGUAGAGGUGAAAUUCGUAGAUAUUCGGAAG